UACGUAGGGUGCGAGCGUUAAUCGGAAUUACUGGGCGUAAAGUGUGCGCAGGCGGCAGAGCAAGUCGAGUGUGAAAGCCCCGGGCUUAACUUGGGAAUUGCGCUCGAAACUACUUUGCUGGAGUGUGGCAGAGGAAGGUGGAAUUCCACGUGUAGCGGUGAAAUGCGUAGAGAUGUGGAGGAACACCAAUGGCGAAGGCAGCCUUCUGGGCUGACACUGACGCUCAGGCACGAAAGCGUGGGGAGCAAACAGG
rnacentral:rRNA from 1 species